rnacentral:lncRNA from 1 species
CUGGCCCGGGUCGGCGGACGCUAGCGUGGCGGGAGGGAGGAGAAGCCACUAGAAGCUUCAGGAAAAGUCCCACGGAGUCCCCAGGGCAAUCGCAGUUUCCCUCCCAAGGAUGGGAUUAGCCCUGGGCUAACAUCUGCCACCAAUCCUCCUCUUUUUACUGAGGAAGACUGGCCUUGAGCUAACAUCCGUGUCCAUCUUCCUCUGCUUUAUCUGUGGGACGCCUGCCACAGCAUGGCUUGACAAGGGGUGCAUAGGCCUGCACCUGGGAUCUGAACCGGCCAACCUCAGCCGCUGAAGCGGAAGCUAGGUGGAGGCCUGGCCCACCCCUCUGCACCUUGAGACUUUCACAUGAAAGGUGCUGAUUCCAUUCUACAUCGACAGCAAAUAAUCUUAUUUUGAAAAAGGAAAGAGACGGAAGGCUGAACAAAAUAAUUUACCAUCGAGUUCUGCUCGUUUCAUUUGCCUGGCAAAACCUGGAGAAGGCCGAAAGGGCGUCUGGGAAACGCAGCGGCGGAGCCAGAGGCCCCUGGCGUAGGGGUGAACUCGCCGUCGGAGGAGAUGUGUGCUACUGUGUGUGCGAGGAGAAUACAUUUCCUAAUCUCCAGUUUUCGGCAAUGCUGGUCCAGCUGGGUAGUUCUCAGUUCUGCCUCGUUCCAAAGAAAUGCUGGGCCAUCUGUCCCUUGCCUCUAACGUCUUUAACUCAAACCCAGGUCCCAGGUCUUUUUCCCCAAAAUAACUCUCAAGAUGACGCUGCUUUAGUGGUUGUACGAACCCGGCAGCGCCAGAGGUCUGCUUGGUCUGGAUUGGGCUCGCUUCCCCGGAAGGCUUGCGGGGUUCCAGAGUCUGGGCUGCAAUCAGGAAAAUGGGGUUUCCGAAACCUCUGUGGGCUGGAUUCUCCAAGUGUGGCGGGCGGUGCGCGCAUUCGAGGAAUACGACUGCAUUGGGCGCGCGCUGGUUACACCAAUGCCGGGGGUUACUGAUCUACGUUAAAA